GUACAGGGUGCAAACUGUUUGUGGAUCUAUUAUUCUGCGGUUUACAGGAUGGCGGCCCUCUUCUCACAGCUCCACUAGCAGUGUUCCAGUGAGGACUCUGUAGGGGCUCCAACCCCAAAUUUCCCCUCUGCACUGCCCUAGUAGAGUUUCUCCAUGAGAGCUCCAACCCUGCAGCAAGGUUCUCUCUGGAUAUCCAGGCUUUUCCAUACAUCCUUGAAAUUUAAGCAGAGGCUCCCAAACCUCAAUUCUUGGAUUCUGUGCAUCCACAGGCUUAACACCACAUGGAAUCUGCCAAGGCUUAUGGAUUGCACCCUCUGAAGCAGCAGCCUGAACUGUACCUGGGCUCCUUUGAGCCAUGGCUGGAGCUAGAGCUACUGGGAUCUGGGGAAGAGUGUCCCAAGAAGAAAUCUUAAAAGUUUGAGAAGAAAAUAUGGUAAAUAACUAAGAGAAAUCUCUGGUCAAUACUCAACAAGUCCUUCAGUCCAACAAUAUUCCAUACAUGAAAUCCUGCCAAAAACCAGGUUAAAGAGAGAUCAUCAAUCAGAGGACCCAAUUAAGCUGUGACCAGAGUCCUGGCCCAUUGCAACUGUGAACAAAGUGCAUGUUGUUUAGGCUGCUAAACUUGUGGUUAUUUGUUUCACAAUAGUAAGUAACUUAUAAAAAUGCUCUAUACUCGUGAUCCUCAUUAUCAAUGAAACAUCUCAUUAUUCAUGUAAGGACAUUGAAUUCCUUAAAAAUUGAGGUAAACUAUCUUGAAAACAAAGCCCAAGGGGUUAAUGCAUUUUCAUAUACCCUCCUUCACCUGCUAGAGAUCAAGUUAAAGAAGUCACAAUCACUAUUACUGUUGUAGAAAAGGUACUCCUUUUCCUUUAUUCAGGCUCUUACUUGUGCUUAGAAUAAAUGUUUGUGGCUUCUAUGGUUAACUAGCUGAAACAUAAAGGCUUUGGUUAUUGUAUGUUCCCUUCGAAGGCCAUUUGUAGUAUUGAUUUAACCCACAAGCACUUUGGACGUUGUUUUUGCCUCAAUCAUUCAAGCAGGUGGUUCUGUACAAUGUAGAACACAGCUUAAAGGGAAAAACAUAGAAAGACAUCAACUCUACAAGCAGCUCCUGUAGUAGCUCUGGAAACAUUGUGAAGUAACUCUAUGCACAAUAUUAUUGAUACCUAUUUGGAAUUUUCCUAUAAUGGGACAAAUUUGAUAUACAAUCUAUUUACAUUAUAGAAUCUUUCCUAAUGCACCUGUGUCUCACUGACAG
rnacentral:lncRNA from 10 species